GACGAACGCUGGCGGCGUGCUUAACACAUGCAAGUCGAACGGAAAGGCCCUGCUUUUGUGGGGUGCUCGAGUGGCGAACGGGUGAGUAACACGUGAGUAACCUGCCCUUGACUUUGGGAUAACUUCAGGAAACUGGGGCUAAUACCGGAUAGGAGCUCCUGCUGCAUGGUGGGGGUUGGAAAGUUUCGGCGGUUGGGGAUGGACUCGCGGCUUAUCAGCUUGUUGGUGGGGUAGUGGCUUACCAAGGCUUUGACGGGUAGCCGGCCUGAGAGGGUGACCGGCCACUUUGGGACUGAGAUACGGCCCAGACCUCUGCGGGAGGGAGGAGGGGGGAAUAUUGCACAAGGGGGGGAAGCCUGAUGCAGCAACGCCGGGGGGGGGAUGGCGGCCUUGGGGUUGAAAACCGCUUUCGCCUGGGACGAAGGGUGAGGGGCGGUAAUGGGUAAAGAAGCACCGGCUAACUACGU
rnacentral:rRNA from 1 species